UCCAGACUCCUACGGGAGGCAGCAGUGGGGAAUAUUGCACAAUGGGGGAAACCCUGAUGCAGCGACGCCGCGUGAGUGAAGAAGUAUUUCGGUAUGUAAAGCUCUAUCAGCAGGGAAGAAAAUGACGGUACCUGACCAAGAAGCCCCGGCUAACUACGUGCCAGCAGCCGCGGUAAUACGUAGGGGGCAAGCGUUAUCCGGAUUUACUGGGUGUAAAGGGAGCGUAGACAGUUGUGCAAGUCAGAAGUGAAAGCCCGGGGCGCAACUCCGGGACUGCUUUUGAAACUGUGAAACUGGAGUGCAGGAGAGGUAAGCGGAAUUCCUGGUGUAGCGGUGAAAUGCGUAGAUAUCAGGAGGAACACCAGUGGCGAAGGCGGCGUACUGGACUGUAACUGACGUUGAGGCCCGAAAGCGUGGGGAGCAAACAGGAUUAGAGACCCGAGUAAAA
rnacentral:rRNA from 1 species